rnacentral:rRNA from 1 species
UGGCGGACGGGUGAGUAACGCGUGGGUAACCUGCCUUGUACUGGGGGACAACAGUUGGAAACGACUGCUAAUACCGCAUAAGCGCACAGCUUCGCAUGAAGCAGUGUGAAAAACUCCGGUGGUACAAGAUGGACCCGCGUCUGAUUAGCUGGUUGGUGAGGUAACGGCCCACCAAGGCAACGAUCAGUUAGCCGGCCUGAGAGGGUGAACGGCCACAUUGGGACUGAGACACGGCCCAAACUCCUACGGGAGGCAGCAUG